GAGAGCUCGGUGCGGGCUCUGAGAGCUGCGGGGAAGGGUGAAGGUGGAAGAUGGAGGCCUUGUGUGGAGGGGUCCUUGGUAGAAGACCCCAGAAAAGGUGUUGGUUGAUAUAGACAGCAGGACGGUGGCCAUGGAAGUCUUGGGGCCGAAACGAUCUCAACCUAUUCUCAAACUUUAAAUGGGCAAGAAGCCCAGCUAGCUCAGUCGGUAGAGCAUAAGACUCUUAAUCUCAGGGUUGUGGAUUCGUG
rnacentral:lncRNA from 1 species